rnacentral:rRNA from 1 species
GACGAACGCUGGCGGCGUGCUUAACACAUGCAAGUCGAACGGAAAGGCUCCAGCUUGCUGGAGUACUCGAGUGGCGAACGGGUGAGUAACACGUGGGUAAUCUGCCCUGCACUCUGGGAUAAGCCUGGGAAACUGGGUCUAAUACUGGAUAUGACCUUUCUCCUUAUGGGGUUUGGUGGAAAGUUUUUCGGUGUAGGAUGAGCCCGCGGCCUAUCAGCUUGUUGGUGGGGUGAUGGCCUACCAAGGCGACGACGGGUAGCCGGCCUGAGAGGGUGAUCGGCCACAUUGGGACUGAGAUACGGCCCAGACUCCUACGGGAGGCAGCAGUGGGGAAUAUUGCACAAUGGGCGGAAGCCUGAUGCAGCGACGCCGCGUGAGGGAUGACGGCCUUCGGGUUGUAAACCUCUUUCAGCAGGGACGAGGCGUAAGUGACGGUACCUGCAGAAGAAGCACCGGCUAACUAUGUG